rnacentral:rRNA from 1 species
UACGUAGGGGGCAAGCGUUAUCCGGAAUUACUGGGUGUAAAGGGAGCGUAGACGGUAAUGUAAGUCUGGAGUGAAAGGCGGGGGCCCAACCCCCGGACUGCUCUGGAAACUAUGUUACUAGAGUGCAGGAGAGGUAAGCGGAAUUCCUAGUGUAGCGGUGAAAUGCGUAGAUAUUAGGAGGAACACCAGUGGCGAAGGCAGCUUACUGGACUGUAACUGACGUUGAGGCUCGAAAGCGUGGGGAGCAAACAGG